UGCACAAGGCUGUUCAGGGCCUUUUGGUGGGCAUUUCCCUUCAGCUUGGGUGGCUCCUCGGAGUCACCUAAUAAAGUUCCGAAUACAAAUCCCCACAAAAGGAUGAUUCCUGGUCAUUUGUUAUUGCUGCUCAAUGUCUCAUUGGGGCUGGGAUAACCAGACCCACAAGCCACCGUCCCAAACUCCCGAGGGCUGGGAAGGUGGCCACUGCUGCCUGCAGGGUCUACCGCAGGUGGGCUCGCUGGUGUGAAAGGACAGACACCACGGCAGCUUGGCACCCAAUGUGGGGCCUGAGGGCAUCGCCAGACCCCACGGAGAUGUUGGGACUUUUCUGUGGAGUUUUCUUAAUUGGACCCAAACCGUCUCUGGAUGUUAAGCUACCCCCAGUGGGAGCAGACUCACUUUUCUGAGUGGCAUUCCUGGGGGACAGGAGAGGCAGCCUCAGCCCUGCACCUCAGAGGUCUCUCCCCAAUGAAAGCUGCUACCCCUGAGAUUUUAAGUUUCCCUCCGAACAUCUGGUUCCGACCAUCAACUACGCACUCGACCUAACAACCAAUAUGUUGAUUGCUGCAGGGUUUGAGCUCCAGACAGAAAAGAUUCAACAGAUGCCACCCUGGAAGUACCUGGGCCUUGAAGUUACGAAGAGGACCACUGUUCCUCAGAAAUUGGAGAUCAAAACUUGUGUCCGGACUUUGGUGGAUCUGCAACAACUGUGUGGGUCACUGAACUGGGUUAAUCAACCUAGUCUCCCACUGAGAGCAACCAUUUUACGGGAUGCAUGUCAGGUCACACACAGACCUGCCGGGGUUCAUCACAGAGGGCAAUCGAAGAGCUGCUCCAGCCCAGAUGGCCCCACUCCAUGAUAUGUUUGAACAGGUGAGAAUCAGCCAUCAGAAAUUCCAUCGGAAUGUGCCCGGCCUUGUGAACCUGUGAACAGGCUCGGGCCAUUGAGGUGACAUGUCCCCAGUGUCAGCAACAUCAGAUGCCCGCCCUGAGCACUGGAGCCAACCCCAAAAGUCUCCACAUCUGUGAGGUGUGGCAGAUGGGCGUCACCAAGGUACCAUCCUUUGGCAGACUGAAGGACAUCCCUGUCUCAGUAGACACUUUCUCUGGCACAGUCUACACCUUGGCCCGUGCAGGGGAGAGGGCUAUGGAUGGGAAGAAACACCUCAUCCAGGCCUUCUCCACAUUGGAGGUCCCCAAAGUCAUCAAAAUGGACAACGUCCCAGCGUACGGCUCCAGGGAGCUCUGGAGCUUCCCGCAGCAAUGGGGAGUGGAACACAAAACUGGCAUCCCCCACUCCCCGACAGACCAAGCCGUAGUUGAGAGGACCCACCAGAGUCUAAAAAAGAUUCUGCUUCAUCAAUGCAGAUGAAGGUGGAAUCCCCUCAUAUCCAACUUGCCCAGGCAUUGUUUACCUUGAACUUUUUGAACUGUGCCUUUGACAGCCUGAACCCUCCAAUAAUAACGCACUUCAGGGGCAAUCCGCAGCUGGAGGUGAAAGAGAGGCCCCCGGUCCUUGUCAAGGACCCUGAGACCUGGAAGGUACAAGGACCAUUUGAGCUCGUCACCUAGGGGCGGGGGUACGCCUGUUUGGCUACCCCCUCAGGGUUAAAAUGGGUCCCAUCGAAGUGGGUAAGACCCUAUAUUCCAAAGAUCAAUCAAGAAAAGACUGUCUGGCAGGUGUGGGACGUCUGUUGGAGGAGAAAGAGAUGCAGAACCAACUCCAUUUAAGUUACCCUUAGUAAUCCUUUUUCUGUUUUUGUUUUCAGCCCAGACCUGAGAACCCCACACAACAUCAUGAUUCCUCUUCUACUCAUCAUCACGCAAUGUGUCACUGUCCCCAACGGCUCCUGGAUUGUCCCCCAGCCAAAGACUAAUGUGUGGAGAGUGUUAGCACAGGCUCUCGGACAGGACAACAUCUGCCUGUCCCUAGAUUCAGCUGCCAACCUGGCGUCCACCUGCCUUGUGGGGAUCCCUUUUAAAUCAAAUGAAUUUCCCCCUUCGUUAGCCCCUGCUUCUUUUUUCCCUGCCUAUGACCCCUUGGUUCCUUGGGACCAAUUUGUCAAAAGAUUACCAGAGAUCAAAGACGAACUCCACGAAUUUGAGUUGCUUGGCUCAACCAAAGCCCCAUGUUGUGUUCAUUUUAUGGUUAAACCAAACAACCCCAGAAUCAGGCAUACAGAAAUCAAACAAUUUAAGAGCCAAUAUAUGGCCAAAAAUUGGUGUGAAAAAAUCGCCCAUAUCCAUGACACACUUGCCAUUACUAUGAAACCCCGUUCAGUUCCCUGUGGUAACUUUUUUGUUUUUGGCGACCAAGCUUUUGCAGGCAUCCCCUCUCACCUUGCUGAAGGCCCUUGCACCACUGGUUGGGCAUGUUUUCCCGUAAUAUGACUAAAGUUUUGGAUUGGUGCCGUAAAAAUUCUACUCAAUUGGACUGCUAAAAGAGAGACCUAGAGCUUACUAAUUGGGAUUUAAAUUGCGACUCUAAGUUAUUCAUUGUUCUAAGCCAAAAGGGGUUGCGGUCAUCACGCUAUUGUCAUGGGUCGCGAUCGUUCAAACAUUCGGGGAAUUGGCUACCCUCGAAUGUUGGGUGGCAAAACAUGCCAAUCUUACAUCAACUGCCCUCAGUGGACUCCUGCAGGAUGAGGAAAUAACAAGGCAGGCAACCCUACAGAACCGGGAAGUGAUCGAUUUCCUCCUUUUGCUGCACAACCACAAGUGUGAGGAAUUUGAGGGUCUGUGCUGCAUGAACCUAACAUCAAAGGCUGGGGACGUCCAGAAAGUGAUUGAUCAGAUGCAGGAUAUGAUCAAAGACAUAAAGCGAGAGACUGGGGACUGGCUGGAAAAUAUCUUCACCAGCUGGGGACUCUCAGGCUGGGUCACCUCUGUCAUAAGAACUGGAUUGUUGAUUUUAUUUGUUUUUAUUUUAGUUUUGAUUGCUUUUAGCAUUUUGAGACAGAUAGUGUCGAACCUCAUUUCCAGGGCCCUCAACAUUCCUAGCGUGAACCAGGCAGCAGUUCUGUUGGUCCAAGAGUCAACAGAAGAAGAAGAGAACUACACAGAGCUAGAACCCAAGAGUGGACCUUGGAAAGAAACUGCUCCCACCUGUCAGCCCUGGUUCGCAGACACCUAUCGAGACCUCAGAGUUCCUUCCCCGAGUGGAAUUUAAUUAGUUUUAAAGGACUUUAUUUUCUUCAAUUGUUUUGUUUAAAAUAAAAAAGGGUUGUGUUUUAAA